rnacentral:sRNA from 1 species
UUUUUUUUUCUUUCAAACCUAAAAGAUUCGCCGAAAUCCUAUUUCAUAAAUGCCAAAAAUCAGUCUAAAGAUGAGACUUUUGGUGGCAGUUACUAGCAUCCUGUGUUUAUCCUUCGUUAGAGCCGACACGCCCGAUGAAGAGGUACCAAUCGAAAAACCGCCAAUUAUCAACCCAGAGAUUCCGCCCUCACAAAUAGUUAGCAGAAACGAAGGUAACAUUGUCAUCAUAGAUGACCCACCACCACCACCACCACCACCACCCCCGCCACCUCCUAGACCGUUUCCAGCCGUAGACUCGAACUCGAUACUGGAUACAAUUUCAUCAGAGCAACUAGGUGUUGAUGCUGAGAAUUUCGAUAAGUUCCUUAAUGAUGUGAUUGAAAGAGUCAAAGUAGAAAAAAUGGAAGAAGAUGCAAAGAGAACCACAAAUUCUUUACCAGAUAUGACAGAAAUUGGUACAACCAAUAACAAUAUUGAAAAUGGUUUUCAAUCAGAUUCUCUAGAUAGUAUUUUAAAUGAGGCACAGCUCCAAUUUGAACAGUUUAGCCAAGCACAGUUCGAAAACUCUGUUAAUCAAAACAAACCUGAUCCUAUUCUUGAAAACCUGGGACCUAGAAGUGAACAGUCUAUUUCGAACACACCUAGUGUUCCUAAUGAUUUGAAUACAGGACCUAUUAAUGGACCAAUCACUGCAUUUCCAGACUUGUCUACUAAUGAUAAUUUUGAGAGUGAUGAUGCAAAACGAUUAGUGCAAUUGAUAGAGGAAAGAAGGGAACUUCUUCGACAGCUUAGAGAACAAGAUCAAAUUGUAAGUAAUGCUAGAAGCGCCCCUUUUCGCACAACACAGCGUCUUUCCGAUGAUUUCGACGACUUCGGAAUUUUGAGAGAGAGUAUCCGGCCAGGAAUUACGCCUUUAGUUGGUAACAGUAUAGGCGUUCCUGUUAACAUUGUAACUGACUCGGAAAGCCAAAGAAAUAAUCGCCAAACUGAUCUUCUAGCAGAUGCUGGUCUUGUUAAUGCCCCAGCUACCAUUCGACAAAGAUUUCGAGAUGCCGAUGCCGGAAAUCCGAAUGUUCCGUCAGGAGUUUCAGGUUUUGGUACAGGACAAGUACUUUCCCCAGAUUCAUUUGAUAAUAAUUUCGGACUCAGUUCAGAUGAUGAUGAUGAUUUCAUUCAACGUCGGAAUGCUCUUUUAGCCCAAAGGCAACUUUUACAAGAGCAGCUCGCCAGAGUAAGUGGGCAAACCUUACCUACUUUAAAUACAGCUUUACCGCUUAGUGUAACUUCAAAUCUGAAUUCAGUCCUUUCACCUGGCAGUAUACGCAUAGAAGAUUUAGACGAUAAUUUUCAAACAACUGGAGUAAAUCUGAAUAGAGGCGGCGAUGAUUUUGAGCCGCCUGGAAGUAGAUCUCAGCAGACAUCUUUACGAAAUAUACCCGGGGUAUUUCCCCCCGACUUUGGCCUUGCUAAUGUACUAGCUAGUCGCAACAGAAAUUCUUUUUCACCUUCACCUAUUCCAACAUUAAGACGACCCCAACAGCAAGAUAUUCUCUCAGGCUUUAGCGAUAAUUCAGUUUUUAGAUCUCCAAAUAGCAGGGUUCCAUCGAGGGAUUUCCUUCUACGCCAGUUUCAGAGAGGUUCAAAUGUACUUGCACUGUCUAGUGACCUUGAUGACGGAAGUGCAAUACGAGGAACAAACCUACCUAGAUUCCCUUCCCCACUUAGUAGUAUAAGACAAGGUUCUGGUAUUGAUCUCCUGCAACAAACAAGAAACAAUUUUGACGGCCUGGUGUCCUAAGCCAAGGUUCACUUCAAGGCUUACCCUUAACAGAUGACGACUCUUCUUCCGGUGAUGUUCGAAGCAAUAUUCGUGGUACUUCAGGAUUCUCGACAUCUCUAAACAAUAUAAGACCAGCUGGUUUUGUAAACCCAGCUGCAUCUCUACGCUCACCUUGGACAGGACCUCUCAGGGCAUUGGACCGACCCCCAAUUCCUCUCCCACCUUCUAACAUUUUAGAUGAUGAUGAUGAUAGUAGUACAAUACAAAACUUACAAACAGACGGUGGGCGCAUUUCUCAACGAGCUGGGGAUUUUCCUGAGUUUAACAGACAAGUUGAGCAACUCCUACAAGGUGCAUCAGGAAUUGCCUCAUUUUCACGGGGAAGUUUUAACGACGAUGAUAACUUUCAAAGUCCAUUUUCUAGAGGACGGUUUUUUCCAAACUUUCGAAACGUUAAUACAUUUCAAUCUUUUAGACAGCCUCGCGGAUCAUUCCUUUUGAGACAAAGAGGCAUAUUCUAAAAUUCCUAUUUGAUUUUCAUCCUGGUGAAAAAGUUUUUGUUGGGUUUGCUUGGCAUUUGGUAAAUAAACUUUUUUUUUGUAAAUGUGCAUAUUACAUAACUAUGAACAAUUAUGUAUUGUAUAGCUUUAUUUGCAAUUUAUCCAAACGCUUCCAUGAUUUGUUUAAGGACGAGAAAUAGCUAACUACUGUCACUAAGUAAAACAUAUUUUGCUAUGGUAAGGAAAAAUGUACUGACAUGUUUCUUCUUUUCACAAGAAUGAAAACCAUUUUCAACAUUCCUAUUAUCUAAAUUAAAAAAAAAAAAUGUUAAUUUAUGUCAUGAAUUCCAACUUUACAAAAGAAAGGUAGUUUGUUUUUGUUUUUUUUUUUUUUUUUUUUUAUAGAAAAAAGCAUCUAUAUUCUCGAGCAAAAAACAAAGGUAUUGAAGAAUGACGAAUUAAUAGGCUUUUUGUGUUUAUACCUUCCUCUCUGAAAACGUUUUGUAUACAUUAAUAAAUUACUGGAUCAUU